CAUCACUGCGGGUAAUCAGAGACACCUGCGGUUGAAGCUGGCGGUCUUGAUCCUCGUGGUUCCAGGUUUUGAAUGUGAGGAAAUCCUUGUUGGAGAUGGCUUGGUCUGCUGUUGCAUUCUACUGCUCUGCUGUCUGUUGCCGUUUUACCGGGUGAACUAUAACCUUUUGAGGGCAUGUUUUACAGGGAUGCGACGAUUCUGAAGCUUUAUUCCUCUCAUAUUUAAUAAUUUUCGUCCAAGAUUAUUAUGUGAAUUGUUCGUUUUGUUCAUUCUGUAUGUGGUUUCACAUGGAUUUUUUCCUUAUUGUGUUUCUAUUGAUCUCUGUGAGAUAAAUCCCUGAUAGUAAAUAUAUUUAUGAUCAUUGUUCACUGUAUAUACCUACUCUUUUCAUAUUGUUUGACAUCUUUCUUUUAGCUUAUAUUUUUACAGUCUAUUCAUUUUUUACAAUUUUGUCUUGCAUACUCUUUUUACUUGUAUUGAUUUUUUUUUUCAUGUAUUCAGUCAUGAAGCAUUUCACUGCAAGUAUACUGUAUAUUACUGUAUGACUAAUAAACUCUGAACUUUUAGGCUAAUAACAGUGUGUGUCUA